GAAGCUUACAGUCCUACACGUGAUGGCAGAGCACAUCGGCGGAGGGCUCUGUCUCACCCAGACCUGUGAGAGUGAUUUCCCAGCGAUUGCUUCGGCCGGUACAACCAGAGAACAGGAUUCUUUUCUUUUUGGCUGCUAAAUGCCUCUGUAUUCCACACUUUCCAGUGAGGGGAGAAGGCUGGAGCUUCUUGGAUGAUGAUGGAUAUUCCGCUGGGCAGGAUGAGGGCAGAGUGUGUGACAUCAACAGCACAAGGGUAAGAGCUGCCUGUCUGGUGUUUUCUCUGAUGCCAGCAUUUACCAAAGGAAGGGGAGAAAAACCUAGUGACAGAAAUGAGGGUUAAGCAUCUGGGAGACUCUUCUGUUUGUAAACAUCCAUGGGGCAGUUGGGGUAGAUGACUGAGGAAGGAAG
rnacentral:lncRNA from 1 species